rnacentral:rRNA from 1 species
UACGAAGGGGGGCUAGGCGUUGCUCGGAAUCACUGGGCGUAAAGCGCACGUAGGCGGAUCUUUAAGUCAGGGGUGAAAUCCCUGGAGCUCAACUCCAGAACUGGCCUUUGAUACUGGGGAUCCUCGAAGUCCGGAAGAGGUGAGUGGGAACUCCGAGUGUAGAGGUGAAAUUCGGUAGAUAUUCGGAAAGAACACCCAGUGGCGAAAGGCGG